UACGGGGGGAGCAAGCGUUGUUCGGAUUUACUGGGCGUAAAGGGCGCGUAGGCGGCUUGUCAAGUCACUUGUGAAAUCUCUGGGCUUAACCCAGAACGGCCAAGUGAAACUGACAUGCUAGAGUGCAGAAGGGGCAAUCGGAAUUCUUGGUGUAGCGGUGAAAUGCGUAGAUAUCUAGAGGAACGCCAAAGGUGAAGACAGGCGACUGGUUUGCAACUGACGCUCAUGGACGAAAGCGUGGGGAUCAAACGGG
rnacentral:rRNA from 1 species